UACGUAGGGGGCGAGCGUUGUCCGGAUUUAUUGGGCGUAAAGAGCGUGUAGGCGGCCAGGUAGGUCUGCUGUGAAAACUCGAGGCUCAACCUCGAGACGUCGGCGGAAACCAUCUGGCUAGAGUCCGGAAGAGGAGAGUGGAAUUCCUGGUGUAGCAGUGAAAUGCGUAGAUAUCGUGAGGAACACCAGAGGCGAAGGCGGCUACCUGGACAAUUGCUGACGCUCAGGCACGAAAGCGUGGGGAGCAAAAGGG
rnacentral:rRNA from 1 species